GACGAACGCUGGCGGCGUGCUUAACACAUGCAAGUCGAACGGAAAGGCCCUGCUUGCAGGGUACUCGAGUGGCGAACGGGUGAGUAACACGUGGGUGGUCUGCCCUGCACUUCGGGAUAAGCCUGGGAAACUGGGUCUAAUACCGGAUAGGAGCCAUUUUUAGUGUGAUGGUUGGAAAGUUUUUUCGGUGUAGGAUGAGCUCGCGGCCUAUCAGCUUGUUGGUGGGGUAAUGGCCUACCAAGGCGGCGACGGGUAGCCGGCCUGAGAGGGUGGACGGCCACAUUGGGACUGAGAUACGGCCCAGACUCCUACGGGAGGCAGCAGUGGGGAAUAUUGCACAAUGGGCGCAAGCCUGAUGCAGCGACGCCGCGUGGGGGAUGACGGCCUUCGGGUUGUAAACUCCUUUCGCUAGGGGCGAAGCUUUUUGUGACGGUACCUAGAUAAGAAGCACCGGCUAACUACGUG
rnacentral:rRNA from 1 species